UACGUAGGGGGCAAGCGUUGUCCGGAUUUAUUGGGCGUAAAGAGCGUGUAGGCGGCCGUGUAGGUCUGACGUGAAAUCUGGAGGCUCAACCUCCAGCUGUCGUUGGAAACCGCUCGGCUAGAGUCCGGAAGAGGAGAGUGGAAUUCCAGGUGUAGCGGUGAAAUGCGUAGAUAUCUGGAGGAACACCGGUGGCGAAGGCGGCAUCCUGGACCAAUACUGACGCUGAGGAGCGAAAGCCAGGGGAGCAAACGGG
rnacentral:rRNA from 1 species